GGACCCGCACAAGCGGUGGAGCAUGUGGUUUAAUUCGAUGCAACGCGAAAAACCUUACCUACACUUGACAUACUUCGAAUUUUCUAGAGAUAGAUUAGUGCCUUCGGGAGCGAAGAUACAGGUGCUGCAUGGCUGUCGUCAGCUCGUGUCGUGAGAUGUUGGGUUAAGUCCUAUAACGAGCGCAACCCUUACCCUUAUUUGCCAGCGGUUAGGCCGGGAACUAUAAGGGAACUGCCGGUAAUAAGCCGGAGGAAGGUGGGGACGACGUCAAGUCAUCAUGGCCCUUACGUGUAGGGCUACACACGUGCUACAAUGGGAGAUACAGACGGUUGCUAAAGCGCGAGCUGGAGCCAAUCCGACAAAGUCUCAGUUCGGAUUGGAGUCUGCAACUCGACUCCAUG
rnacentral:rRNA from 1 species